CUUCCAUGUCCAUUCAUACCCUGGGUGUAGACAUGUCCUAACAUUCACAGGUGAAGAGACUUCCACUUUGUAUUGCCUACAGAUUUUAAAAAAUCCUCUUUCAUUGUUUCCACACCAAAGGCUAAAAUACAGUAAAUUCAGUGCUACCUUUCUUCCUUCCUGUGCCAUCCCUUUCUGAGAAGAGAUGGCAACACCGGCAACUGCCUGCUGGACUAUAAAGAACACUGGUGUAGCUUCACAAUCAAGAUCUAACAAGACAAGCUUGAGUGAUCACCUGGCAUCCAAAGAUCAAUGGGGAGUAUUACACAACCAUGUCAUUACAUAUAAUAUUUCAACAAGCAGAUGCUAGUAAGAAGAGUUCUUUGACCAGUUUUUGAAGCUGUUGUCAAACUGUGGCUUAAACAUCAGAAGAACAUUCUGCAGAUUUACAUAUCCUCUACAAAGCUUGGAAAUUAAUUUAUGGUGAGCAUCACUCAGCACUCAUUUCCAGAAAAAAAAAAAAAAAAAAAAAACCUCUUUGAAUGUCCUUUUCAGUUGAGCUCAUAUUUGUCAAAUUGUAAAGAUAAUAACAAAGCAGAUUGAAAUUAACAGCAAUAGCAUAUGUGAAUGAGCUGCUUCAGAUGAAUACAUUAUGGAAGUCACAGUGAAUUAGAAGCACACAAAAUGUUGC
rnacentral:lncRNA from 1 species